ensembl:lincRNA Gm43458 predicted gene 43458
GAGGAAGAGUACUUUUUUGUUCAGCAUUUCUAAACACUACCACACUUUUUUUUCUGGAGCAACCAUACAGGAGCAGGCUGGAGCUGGGGAGAGGAUACGGUCAACUCAACUCCUACAAACCUAAAGCCCUCAUCUUCCUCCAACUGUCCUGUCACCAGGCUCAAUGAUCCUCACUGGAGACCCUGGUGCUGUCUUUUUGUUGCCCACACUAAGACCUCUUCCUCUGUGGCUGUGUCCCUCACACCCAUAGCCAUCUUCAGUCUUGCCCACCUGUCUACCGGCUUCAAAAUGUUGUACUAAGGGCCUGCUUUCUUGGCUUCUUUCUUCCUGAGAGCCAGGAGGAGUUGUGUGGGUUCCAGCCAACCUGAUUGUGUGUCUGGGUCCCUGCUCCUCACAGUUGGCAUGUGAGACGGGUCAUCUCUUGCUUCCUUUCCUUCCUCGCUGCACUGUGACCUCUCCUGG